rnacentral:lncRNA from 1 species
CCGGUGUUUUGUUUUGUUUGUUGAUGUUUCAAUAUUGCUUUCUUCCUUAAUAUUUACCUUGGAGUUUCUUUCUUUUUACAAUUUGCAUCUUAAAUUGACGUUCUGUUGCAACAUAUUUAAAAUUAAAUCUUAUAAAAUAGAAAACAAAUUGCGGUUGCCAUGGGCACAGAUGUGUUGCUAGGGAGAAACAAUAGUGAAUUUGGCAAGAAUGUGCA